AGAGUUUGAUCCUGGCUCAGGACGAACGUUGGCGGCGUGCUUAACACAUGCAAGUCGAGCGGUUGAGAGGUGGGAGGUGAGAGGUUAGAAGUGGGAGAAAGAAAGGGUGAGUAACGCGUGGAUAAUCUGCCUGUAAGACAGGGAUAACGCCGGGAAACCGGUGCUAAUACCCGAUAACCUCUUUGGAUAGCAUGAUUUGAAGAGAAAAGGUGGCCUCUUUACAAUGCUACCACUUACAGAUGAAUCCGCGUCCCAUUAGCCAGUUGGUGGGGUAAAGGCCUACCAAAGCGACGAUGGGUAGCCGGCCUGAGAGAGCGGUCCUUAAUCACGGUCCAGACUCCUACGGGAGGCAGCAGUGGGGAAUCUUCCGCAAUGGGCGAAAGCCUGACGGAGCAACGCCGCGUGAGCGAAGAAGGUUUUCGGAUUGUAAAGCUCUGUGAUAUUGGACGAACGAUUUCCCGUAAAUAAUGGGAAAAACCACGGCUAACUACGUGCCAGCAGCCGCGGUAAUACGUAGGUGGCAAACGUUGUCCGGAAUUACUGGGCGUAAAGGGCGAGUAGGUGGUUUGCUAAGUCAAGAGUGAAAACUCCAGGCUCAACUCGGAGACUGCUCUACGAAACUGGUAGACUUGAGUGCAAGAGAGGGAAGUGGAAUUCCUAGUGUAGCGGUGAAAUGCGUAGAUAUUAGGAGGAACACCAGUGGCGAAGGCAGCCUCUGGCCUGUAACUGAUGCUGAGGCGCGAAAGCGUGGGGAGCAAACAGGAUUAGAUACCCUGGUAGUCCACGCUGUAAACGAUGGAUACUAGGUGUAGAAGGUAUCGACCCCCUCGGUGCCACAGCAAACACAUUAAGCUUCCCGCCUGGGGAGUACGGUCGCAAGGCUAAAACUCAAAGGAAUUGACGGGGGCCCGCACAAGCGGUGGAGCAUGUGGUUUAAUUCGAUGCAACGCGCAAAACCUUACCAGGGUUUGACAUCCACUGAAUCCUUAGGAAACUAGAGGCUGAUUCCCUUCGGGGCUGCUUACAAGGUGCUGCAUGGUUGUCGUCAGCUCGUGCCGUGAGGUGUCGGCUUAAGUCCCAUAACGAGCGCAACCCCUACAGCCAGUUGCCAGCACGUAAAGGUGGGAACUCUGGCAGAACUGCCGUUGACAAAACGGAGGAAGGUGGGGAUGACGUCAAAUCAUCAUGCCCCUUAUGUCUUGGGCUACACACGUACUACAAUGGCCGGUACAGACGGAAGCGAAGCCGCGAGGUGAAGCGAACCCGAUAAAAGUCGUCCCAGUUCGGAUUGUAGGCUGCAACUCGCCUACAUGAAGUUGGAAUCGCUAGUAAUCGCAGGUCAGCAUACUGCGGUGAAUACGUUCCCGGGCCUUGUACACACCGCCCGUCACGCCACGAAAGUCGGCAACACCCGAAGCCGGUGACUCAACCCGUAAGGGAGAGAGCCGUCGAAGGUGGGGUUGGUAAUUGGGGUGAAGUCGUAACAAGGUAACC
rnacentral:rRNA from 1 species